UCGCCUCUUGCUCUCCCAUAAGAGGUCCAGCCUGCCCAGUGACUUAGUUCAACGGCCGCGGUACCCUAACCGUGCGAAGGUAGCGUAAUCACUUGUCUUCCAAAUAGAGACUAGUAUGAAAGGCAUCACGAGAAUUUAACUGUCUCCUUUUUCUAAUCAGUGAAACUAAUCUUCCCGUGAAGAAGCGGGAAUCCAAAAAUAAGACGAGAAGACCCUAUGGAGCUUUAAACACUAACCACCUGCCCAAUCCUAUAAGACCCCGGUUCCAAAACCAACGCAUCAUGGCUACGUGUUUUUGAUUGGGGCGACCACGGAAAAUAAUCAAACCUCCGUAAUGAAAACCUACAAGCCACAGCUUUAAGUAUCAACAAAUUGACAUCCAUUGACCCAAUAUAUUGACUAAUGAACCAA
rnacentral:rRNA from 1 species